rnacentral:rRNA from 1 species
GAUGAACGCUAGCGGCAGGCUUAAUACAUGCAAGUCGAGGGGCAGCAUGAGUGUAGCAAUACAUUUGAUGGCGACCGGCAAACGGGUGCGGAACACGUACAGAACCUUCCUUCGAGCGGGGAAUAGCCCAGAGAAAUUUGGAUUAAUACCCCAUAGUAUAACAGAGUGGCAUCACUUUGUUAUUAAAGAUUUAUCACUUGAAGAUGGCUGUGCGGCUGAUUAGAUAGUUGGCGGGGUAACGGCCCACCAAGUCUGCGAUCAGUAACUGGUGUGAGAGCACGACCAGUCACACGGGCACUGAGACACGGGCCCGACUCCUACGGGAGGCAGCAGUAAGGAAUAUUGGUCAAUGGACGAAAGUCUGAACCAGCCAUGCCGCGUGGAGGAUGAAGGCCCUCUGGGUUGUAAACUUCUUUUAUAUGGGACGAAAAGGACCUUUCUAGGUCAACUGACGGUACCAUGUGAAUAAGCACCGGCUAAC